rnacentral:rRNA from 1 species
UACGUAGGGCGCGAGCGUUGCCCGGAUUUAUUGGGCGUAAAGCGCGCGUAGGCGGCCCUGUAAGUCCGUUGUGAAAGUCGAAGGCUCAACCUUCGAAAGCCGAUGGAUACUGCAGGGCUAGAGUCCGGAAGAGGCGAGUGGAAUUCCUGGUGUAGCGGUGGAAUGCGCAGAUAUCAGGAGGAACACCAAUAGCGAAGGCAGCUCGCGGGGACGUUACUGACACUGAGGCGCGAAAGCGUGGGGAGCGAACAGG